rnacentral:lncRNA from 12 species
UGAUGAUUAGAAUGCCUUGCAGUAACACCCAAAGCUCAGAUGAAAAGAACUCCUUUAACUCUAUUCCAGGGUUUAUACUUCUUCCAAUCUUGGAAAUGAAUUCCAUGUUCCCCUGUUCCUUCUGACUGUGUCUACUUGGCAAACAUUAAUGUUUUCAUGUGUGUUUUUUUUUCCUUACAGACCUUAGAAUUAAAUGCCUUCCCUUUAGUCUUCUUGUUUGUCUUACCAGAAUCACUGGUGAAAUCAACACAGCUAGAGUGGGGAGAUUCAUUUAACUGUUGCUUCAGAAGCCAUGAAAAGAGCAAGAAGCCUGCAGACCGUCAUUUGUAGAAUGACCAAAAUUCACUGGGAACAUCAGCCAUUUUGAUCUGGAGUUUAAGAGAAGUGGUCCUUUGGCUCUCUGAGGGUCUGAUAGUUGAAAUGAGGAGAGCAGAACAAAGAGCGAAGAGAAAUGUUAGAACAUCCCAAUGAUGAACUCCUGCUUGUGCCCUCACACGACUGGGCUAGCUCCACAGUGUUCACUUUCCUUAAAUACUCUUCCAAGAAUCCUUUCCUGACUUCCCUUUAGACAAACUAAAGGACUCUUUUAAGAGGCAAAGAUACUGGGAACGCAGAAAAAGGUGAACACUCACCAAAUGCACAAAGUAAUUGUUGGUGAAAGGUUAGAGGACUUGUUUGUAAUUUCAUUGUCUCUUAAUUUGAAUAUGUGACCUUAUAUAGUAUGCAUACUUUGGAUUUUAAUAUAAACUCUUUGAAGUAUA